rnacentral:lncRNA from 1 species
CUUUAAAUCAGUUCUGUUAAACUCAUUCCUCUGAGGACCUAGUGUCUGCUGGUUUUUGUUUUUUCUUUUCAAUUAAGACUUAGACAACCAGGUGAGGAGAAUUCCUUACUAAUUACGGACCUUAAUUUGUCAAUCGAGUACAAGGCAGGAGUGAAAACCUGCAGGUACUUAGCCCUCUGUGGAAUGAAUUUGACACAUGUGCUUUGAAUACAACCAUGAGGAAAACUGUAGGAAACGUUGUGCUGAAAUUCCCACCUAAGAAACAUAUGGUUCUCGGAACGUUAUGUGCUACAUGGGUAUCCUGCAGCAUUCCCAGAACAUUGUGGGAAGGUUGUAUGAAAAAUAUCCAUAGAAAAACCACUCACCAAGCUCUAAGAAACAUGGUUCUCAGAACGUUAUACGCUAGCUGGGAAAUCAGCACACCUAGUCUUUAAGGGCCGGCUGGAGAGCUCAAAGAAAAGACGGAAGAAAAGAAAGUCUUACUACUCAAAGAUAAAGGAAAAAGAAAACCCAAAGGAAUGGAGAAGGAAACUGAAAAAAAGAGGCACCGAUUCACCCCUGGAGAUGAGGAUCUUAUUAUUUCAGGGGUACUUGGGCACUGGGAGGACCUCUUCGGUGCCCAGGCCCACAUUCGCCCCCGGGGGUCAAAGACGGCAACCUGGAACACCAUCGCGGGGACCUUGACCCCUACAUCAGCUGUGGCGAGAUGUGGUGAUGAUGUCCGGAAGAAGUACAAUCUCAUAAGGAGCCAAAUCAAGCAAAAGGUUUCUUCUAUCCGGACAUUGUCCACCCAGACUGGUGGGGGGCCCAACACCGUGCCGGCGCUGACCGACCUGGAGCAGCAACUGCUUUCCCGAAUGGCAGAGACCGAAGCUGGUGUAGGGCCUGCUGAUUUGGGAUUUGGUCUCUCUCAGGGAGAAAUCUCCAGCUCUGGUCCCCUACCAGCAGCACAGGGAACUGUGGAGUCAGCUUUACCCUCUGUCACCAUGGAGGAGCUACCCUCCACCUCGCCAUCAACACCUUGGCCAGCACCAACAGUGCCACCCCAACCCAUCACCUCCCGUCCUGCACCAUCUCACUCUGGCUCUACACCCCAACCCAUCACCUCCCGUCCUGCACCAGCUCACUCAAUCCAGGCUCAAUCAAUGAAUCAAAUUUAUUUUAUAAAGCCCUUUUUACAUCAGCAGUUGUCACAAAGUGCUUUACAAAUACCUAGCUUAAAACCCCAAAUAGCAAGCAAUGCAGAUGCACUCUCUGGCUGUAAACCCCAACCCAUCACCUCCUGUCCUGCACCAUCUCACUCCAUCCACUCUGGCUCUACACCCCAACCCAUCACCUCCUGUCCUGCACCAUCUCACUCUGGCUCUACACCCCAACCCAUCACCUCCUGUCCUGCACCAUCUCACUCCAUCCACUCUGGCUCUACACCCCAACCCAUCACCACCUGUCCUGCACCAUCUCACUCUGGCUCUACACCCCAACCCAUCACCUCCUGUCCUGCACCAUCUCACUCCAUCCACUCUGGCUCUACAUCCCAACCCAUCACGUCUGGCUGGACACCACAGGGCCCCCAAGCCAAUCUGUUCCAACAAAUCCUGGACACACAAACACAACAAAUCCAUGUUACACAGACCGCCCAACACAUCCACCAAGCUCUUUAUGAUUUAUUACAAAAAGCACAUGAAACACAGAAGGCACACCUGGAUGUGGAGAAGAACCGGCUCCAGCUGGAUAGAGAGCGCUUGAGGGUGGAGACAGAGCGCCUGCAGGUGGAGAGGGAGCGCCUUCAGCUGGAGAAGGAUCGCCUGGGGGAAGGGGAGGCCCGGGAGGUGCUUCGGCAGCUCUCUGUCUCCGGGUCAGUCGCCCUAGAACACCAGACGCCUGUGAGUUCAAGAACUGCCAGUGCCUCCCCCACCCUUCCUCUGGGAACACCAUCAGCCUCCAUGUCCAGUCCCCUCACAUUAAUAUCACCUACUGCACCACACUUUGAUUUCUUAUUUUCCCCAUUCCCAUUACCGGUAAUCACAACCCAUUCCACCCAGCCUUCACAAACUGCCCCAACCCCCCUACCUUAACCAGCCCUGCCCCAACCUCCCCUACCUUAACCAGCCCUGCCCCAACCUCCCCUACCUUAACCAGCCCUGCCCCAACCUCCCCUACCUUAACCAGCCCUGCUCCAACCACCCCUACCUUAACCGUUUCUGCCCACUCUCUCAUCCCUACAAUCUCCGGAUCUGUUAAACGGCGAGUUCAGGAGACAGUCCGGCCUUGGUCUACACCCACUGCUAAGAAUAAAAAACAUCAAUAAACAAAUAAUGUAAUAAAAUACAAGUGUUUAUCUUUUCUUACAGCCUC